GUCGUGGGGGAUAACGUAGCGAAAGCUACGCUAAUACCGCAUACGCCCUGAGGGGGAAAGCGGGGGAUUCUUCGGAACCUCGCGCGAUUGGAGCGGCCGAUGUCGGAUUAGCUAGUAGGUGAGGUAAAGGCUCACCUAGGCGACGAUCCGUAGCGGGUCUGAGAGGAUGAUCCGCCACACUGGGACUGAGACACGGCCCAGACUCCUACGGGAGGCAGCAGUGGGGAAUUUUGGACAAUGGGCGCAAGCCUGAUCCAGCCAUGCCGCGUGAGUGAAGAAGGCCUUCGGGUUGUAAAGCUCUUUCGGCCGGGAAGAAAUCGUGGUCUCUAACAUAGGCCAUGGAUGACGGUACCGGACUAAGAAGCACCGGCUAACUACGUGCCAGCAGCCGCGGUAAUACGUAGGGUGCGAGCGUUAAUCGGAAUUACUGGGCGUAAAGCGUGCGCAGGCGGUUUUGUAAGACAGAUGUGAAAUCCCCGGGCUUAACCUGGGAACUGCGUUUGUGACUGCAAGGCUAGAGUACGGCAGAGGGGGGUGGAAUUCCUGUUUUAUCAGUGAAAUGCGUAGAGAUCAGGAGGAACACCGAUGGCGAAGGCAGCCCCCUGGGCCUGUACUGACGCUCAUGCACGAAAGCGUUGGGGAGCAAACAGGAUUAGAUACCCUGGUAGUCCACGCCCUAUAACGAUGUCGACUAGUCGUUCGGAGCAGCAAUGCACUGAGUGACUCAGCUAACGCGUGAAGUCGACCGCCUGGGGAGUACGUCCGCAAGGUUAAAACUCAAAGGAAUUGUCGGGGACCCGCACA
rnacentral:rRNA from 1 species